AUUGAACGCUGGCGGCAGGCCUAACACAUGCAAGUCGAACGAGUGGCGGACGGGUGAGUAAUGUCUGGGAAACUGCCUGAUGGAGGGGGAUAACUACUGGAAACGGUAGCUAAUACCGCAUACCAUCAGAUUUGCCCAGAUGGGAUUAGCUAGUUGGUGGGGUAACGGCUCACCAAGGCGACGAGCCCUAGCUGGUCUGAGAGGAUGACCCGCCACACGGGAACUGAGACACGGUCCAGACUCCUACGGGAGGCAGAAGUGGGGAAUAUUGCAAAAUGGGCGAAAGCCGGAUGCAGCAAUGCCGCGUGUAUGAAGAAGGACUUCGGGUUGUAAAGUACUGUAAGCGGGGAGGCGUUACCCGAAGAAGAAGCACCGGCUAACUCCGUGCCAGCAGCCGCGGUAAUUC
rnacentral:rRNA from 1 species